ACAUGCCUCCCCUCAACCUCCCCCCCCCCAAAAAAAAAAAAGGCAAACAGGAAUGGGCACCUGUGGCUCAUUCCUGAAGUCCACAUUACUAGGGAGUUUGAAUUCACAAAAAGUUCCAAGAAACCCCUUCUCAAUCAAUAGCUGCUAUCAUCCUAGCUACAUGGGAGGCUGAAAUUGGGAUGAUCUCAUUUUAGGCCAGCCCAAGCAGUAAAGUCUGAGAGACUCUUAUCUCAAUGGAAGUUGAGUAUGGUGGCAUGUUCACUCAUCCCAGUUGUGGUGGGAAUCAAAAAAUACAAAGAUCACACAGUACAGGUACAUAGCUGGCAGGAAGCAAGACUCUCAAAAAUAAGCAGUACAAAAAAGAGCUGAAGAUAAGGCUUAGUGUUAGAGUACUUGCCUAGCGGAUGCAAAGCCCUGAGUUCGUUACCUCCAGGGGGUAAAAAUACCACCCAGAGUAAAUACAUAAGCA